GCACUCGUAGCUCAGCUGGAAGAGUACCGGUCUUCGAAACCGAGGGUCGCAAGUUCGAACCUUGCCGGGUGCACCA
rnacentral:tRNA from 1 species